rnacentral:rRNA from 1 species
AACGAACGCUGGCGGCAUGCCUAACACAUGCAAGUCGAACGAGACCUUCUGGGCUAGUGGCGCACGGGUGCGUAACGCGUGGGAACCUGCCCUUAGGUUCGGAAUAACUCCCCGAAAGGGGUGCUAAUACCGGAUAUAGUCCUUGGACUAAAGACUUAUCGCCUUUGGAUGGGCCCGCGUUGGAUUAGCUAGUUGGUAGGGUAAACGCCUACCAAGGCGACGAUCCAUAGCUGGUCUGACAGGAUGAUCAGCCACACUGGGACUGAGACACGGCCCAGACUCCUACGGGAGGCAGCAGUGUGGAAUAUUGGACAACGGGCGAAAGCCUGAUCCAGCAAUGCCGCGUGAGUGAUGAAGGCCUUAGGGGUGUAGAGCUCUUUUACCCGGUAUGAUAAUGACAGUACCGUGAGAAUAAGCUCCGGCUAACUCCGUG